rnacentral:rRNA from 1 species
AUUGAACGCUGGCGGCAUGCUUUACACAUGCAAGUCGAACGGCAGCGGGGAGUAGCGUGCGUCGCUGCCGGGGAGUGGGGAACGGAUGAGAAAUACAUGGGAACUGGUGGGGGGGAGGGGGAGAAGCACGCUAAGGGGAUGCUGAAACCGCAUAAAGGGUGAAGGAGAAAGCUGGGGACCGGCGAAUAGGCGUAGGACCGGUUGAGGGCCGGAUGGCUGAUUAGCUAGGUGGUGGGGUAAAGGCGCACCAAGGCGAAGAUCGGUAGCGGGUCUGAGAGGAUGAUCCGCCACACUGGGACUGAGACACGGCCCAGACUCCUACGGGAGGCAGCAGUGGGGAAUUUUGGACAAUGGGGGCAACCCUGAUCCAGCAAUGCCGCGUGUAUGAAGAAGGCCUUAGGGUUGUAAAGUACUUUUGUUCGGGAAGAAAAGGCAGUUGUGAAUACCGGCUGUUACUGACGGUACCUAAAGAAUAAGCACCGGCUAACUACGUG